AGCAAGUUUGCUGCUUCUACAUGUAGCAGCUACUGGAGCAGGGAGAGUGGCAGCUAUCUUCAGCUGUGAAGGGACUGGGCUUUGGUGGUGAUUCAGCAGUGAACGCUAUUCCUUUUUGACUGCUGUGGUAACUCCAAUUUUUGGCUCCCAGAAGGCUGACACUUUAGUUCUGGGCUAUUGCCAAUAUGGUUUGGUGAUUCAUUACUGUUUAAUUAAGUCACUUUUGUGCUCUUUUUCUUACACUGCAAAAGGUUCCCUUGCCACUGCCUCCCGCCCUUAAAUUUGUUCCCCGGCUCUUAAUUCCGAGAUGCUUGAUGCCAGAGAGAUUUUUGAUCAAUAUCUUCCUGUAGGGUCAGAGGAAGGAGCUUCUUUGUUAUCUCGUCCUAGCAAUCCCUUCUUGCCCUCACUAUACAGAGCUCCUGUUACUAUGUCUGUUUAAUCUGGAAAGUUUUGCCUUUGGGUGCCUGGCACAUCAGCGCAGGAAUUCUUUGAUACUGAAAUUGGAUCACUACAGUCACUGUUCUUUAAUGAUCCUGUAAUUCUGACAUUUUAUAUUUGGCCUGGGCACCACUUUGGUUUAAGUCUUUACGUGCCAUUUUUGAGUUGGUUCCACAUAAUCAUUUUGGUACAGUCAUUUAUCAGGUAUGAAUUCGACCUCUCUUUUAUAUUUCAAUGUGAGUUGACCCAGUAUAUGUGGGCAGUUGAAGUUGCCCAUUGCUGUUUCAUAGCACUGCUGAACUGGAUCACGCUAUCGUCUGGUUCUGCAAUUCUCACAUUAGGUAUUGUCUUGGCAUCCCUCGGUAUGCAUUUAGAUAUUUGAAUUAUCGAGUCUAUGGGUGGUACAUGAUGUCCCAUUAUUCUGUCCUCUCUCUCAGUGUGAUGGCACUCUUAGCCCUCAGGGUUAGUGCAGAUAGUGACACAUUUCCUUUAGUUCUUGUUUUAUGUCCAAGACUCAGAGGGGCCCUUGGUCCACCUCUGUUUCUGGCCAAUUAAUAGUGCUCACCCUUUAUGGCACUCAACUGCAUAGGGGUGUAGGGUGAUAGCCUGGGUCCACUCUUUUGUCACGAGGACAUCGUGGAAUGAUAUGGACUGGUGUUUUUUUGUUGUUGUUUUUCAAUUUUGCUUAGGUAUAUUUUUAGGAGGGGUGUUGCCAUAUAUUGGUGAUUCAUUUGGUGGGGGCAGGGGGUUGUUGUAACAACACUGGCCUGCUUCGAGACUAGGCUCUAAUAUUAGAGACAAUGGAUUAUUUUCGGAAAUUAAAAGCUCAGCUUCUGGCUCUCGUCUUGGUCUGGUCCAACAUGAUUGCGAGUUUGCCUUGGCAGGACCAGGGCAGGAUCCAAUUUUUCAAUGGCCAGACAUGGUGUUAACCAUGAGAUUGGCCAGGCUAUGAUUGCUAUGGGCGGAUUAGUGAUUCUGCAUCCUGAGAUUUUAGUUGAAGAUGUUUCCUGGUUUCAGCCAGACAGCAUUCAUUUGUCAGAUUGGUGGGAUGUUGUCUUCCUCCAGAACCUGCAGCAAGGAAUUUGUAUAAUUAUAGAUGGAUGGGGUAAGCAGGGUGAAACUGAGAUUUGCGCUGCAUCUGUGGCAGAUGAGUGUGAGUCAGGUUAGGUUAAUUUACAUUGGUGUUGGGCAGGACGGCUGUUAUGGUGAGUGGGAAUAUGGAGGAAGGCUUGGUGAUCUCGCGAUUCUCUGGCUGGAUCCUCUCCCACUUGGAUGUAUGCCAGCAAACACCGCUCAUUGCCUCACGACCUGGGUUGAGGUGGGCUGGCAUGCAUCUCCUCGAUGGGGAUAACCUCAUGGUAGAGAAGAGGUUCUGAUUGGAAGAGGUUCUGAUUGGAAGAGGUUCCAAUCAAAGCUUGGUCCUUUGCCCUCCUGUGGGCAUACCUCCUAUGAGAUUGACCCACACAGGAGAUACCCACACUUUAGUUAAGAUUCCUCAUUGCAGGUUUUGUAAUUAUUAAAUAAAGUGACCCUAGUUUUUUCCAA